AUGCCAGUCCCUUGGGUCCUAAAGAGGUGCUGGUCAGAGAAUUCUUUUUUCUUUUGUCUGAAGGGUUUGGCAUAGCCUGGUAGUUGCAUGGGUCUUAAUAUAUAGUCAAGCAAGGAUCCAUUUUCUUGUGGGUAGGUGUGCAUGUACUAGCUGUUCCUUUUCUCAGUCCUCUAUGAGGGACACUCAAUGCAGAGGUUACAGUAGGAGAAAAUACGUAGAUAUGAUAUAAAGACUUCCUUCUAUUUGCCUCCCAUAGGAAAUUGUAUUUAUCUGUAUGAAAGAUUAGGUUGUCUUUUUGUUAUUUGUGUGUCUCAGCCUAAGUUAAAGCAUCUGUAUUUGUGUGGAAUAACAUUUUAUUUAGGAUUUUAUACAGCAAAACCUGUCGGCGCACGUCGGAGUGUUUGCUAAAUGCAACUCUCUGUGAGAACCCUGUUUGUUUCACUAGGUAUUACCCCAGUGUCAAUAAGUGUUUGGAGAUACUGCCCUUCCUUGCCAUGCAGUCUGUUUGGAUACCGUGGCAGAAAUAUCUGAACGUGUGUGACACCCACUCUCUGAAAAUGCUGUCCCCUUGAAAUGGUUCAGACUGGGCAUUCGGAAAGGAGGCACCCUGCGUCGUCCAUUUCUGUUGAAGUUCGGACUCUGUCUACAAUAUAAAGCACUCGGGUUUCAUUUCUAUGGGAUUGGCAAGAGCCUCCUGAGUCACUGAAUCUUGUCUUCCCGUUUCAGACAGUCAUAGCCUACAGGGAAAUGGCUUGUAACACGAGAUGAGUUUUCUUGUCGGGAGCAGUUUGUAAUCUAACAGCCACUCUUGGCUCAUCUUACUUUAAAAAAAUAAAAUGUAAGCAUUG